GACGAACGCUGGCGGCAUGCUUUACACAUGCAAGUCGGACGAGUGGCGAACGGGUGAGUAACGCAUCGGAACGUACCUAGUCAUGGGGGAUAACUGUCCGAAAGGACAGCUAAUACCGCUUAUUAUUCGAGCGGCCGAUGUCUGAUUAGCUGGUUGGCGGGGUAAAGGCCCACCAAGGCGACGAUCAUCAGCGGGUCUGAGAGGAUGAUCCGCCACACUGGGACUGAGACACGGCCCAGACUCCUACGGGAGGCAGCAGUGGGGAAUUUUGGGCAAUGGGCGCAAGCCUGAUCGAGCCAUGCCGCGUGUCUGAAGAAGGCCUUCGGGUUGUAAAGGACUUUUGUCAGAGAAGCGGUACCUAACGAAUAAGCACCGGCUAACUCCGUGCCAGCAGCCGCGGUAAUAC
rnacentral:rRNA from 1 species